UACGUAGGGUGCGAGCGUUGUCCGGAUUUAUUGGGCGUAAAGCGCUUGUAGGCGGCACGUCAAGUCGCGUGUGAAAUCCCCAGGCUUAACCUGGGAAGUGCGCGCGAAACUGACGAGCUUGAGUGCCGGAGAGGGUCGCGGAAUUCCCGGUGUAGAGGUGAAAUUCGUAGAUAUCGGGAGGAACACCAGUGGCGAAGGCGGCGACCUGGACGGACACUGACGCUGAGACGCGAAAGCGUGGGGAGCAAACAGG
rnacentral:rRNA from 1 species